AUUGAACGCUGGCGGCAGGCUUAACACAUGCAAGUCGAGCGAGGUGAUGGUGCUUGCACUAUCACUUAGCGGCGGACGGGUGAGCAAUGCUUAGGAAUCUGCCUAUUAGUGGAGGACAACAUCUCGAAAGGGAUGCUAAUACCGCAUACGUCCUACGGGAGAAAGCAGGGGAUCUUCGGACCUUGCGCUAAUAGAUGAGCCUAAGUCGGAUUAGCUAGUUGGUGGGGUAAAGGCCUACCAAGGCGACGAUCUGUAGCGGGUCUGAGAGGAUGAUCCGCCACACUGGGACUGAGACACGGCCCAGACUCCUACGGGAGGCAGCAGUGGGGAAUAUUGGACAAUGGGGGGAACCCUGAUCCAGCCAUGCCGCGUGUGUGAAGAAGGCCUUAUGGUUGUAAAGCACUUUAAGCGAGGAGGAGGCUACUCUAGUUAAUACCUAGGGAUAGUGGACGUUACUCGCAGAAUAAGCACCGGCUAACUCUGUGCCAGCCGCCGCCGUAA
rnacentral:rRNA from 1 species